GAGGAAGGUGAGGAUGACGUCAAGUCCUCAUGGCCCUUACGGGCUGGGCUACACACGUGCUACAAUGGCAGUGACAGAGGGAUGCGAGGGCGCGAGCCUUGGCAAAUCUCAAAAAGCUGUCUCAGUUCGGAUUGGGGUCUGCAACUCGACCCCAUGAAGUUGGAAUCGCUGGUAAUCGCAGAUCAGCACGCUGCGGUGAAUACGUUCCCGGGCCUUGUACACACCGCCCGUCACACCAUGGGAGUUGGCUUUACCUGAAGACGGUGCGUUAACCCGCAAGGGAGACAGCCGGCCACGGUAGGGUCAGCGACUGGGGUGAAGUCGUAACAAGGUAGCCGUAA
rnacentral:rRNA from 1 species